rnacentral:rRNA from 1 species
GGUUGAUCCUGCCAGUAGUCAUAUGCUUGUCCCAAAGAUUAAGCCAUGCAUGUCUAAGUAUAAACCAAUUUAUACGGUGAAACUGCGAAUGGCUCAUUAUAUCAGUUAUAAUUUACUUGAUAGUCUCUUUAUCAUUGGAUAACCGUGGUAAUUCUAGAGCUAAUACAUGCUAGGAGCCUGACUGCGCAAGCGGAAGGGCGGUAUUUAUUAGAUAAAAAACCGACGCCGGCAACGGCUCAUGGUGAUUCAUAAUAACUGUGCGGAUCGCUGGCGUGCCAGCGACGUUUCAUUC